rnacentral:rRNA from 1 species
AUUGAACGCUGGCGGCAGGCCUAACACAUGCAAGUCGAACGCGUGGCGGACGGGUGAGUAAUGUCUGGGAAACUGCCUGAUGGAGGGGGAUAACUACUGGAAACGGUAGCUAAUACCGCAUACCAUCGGAUGUGCCCAGAUGGGAUUAGCUAGUAGGUGGGGUAAAGGCUCACCUAGGCGACGAUCCCUAGCUGGUCUGAGAGGAUGACAAGCCAAACUGGAACGGAGAAACGGUCCAGAAUCCGACGGGAGGCAGAAGUGGGGAAGAUUGCACAAGGGGCGCAAGCCGGAUGCAGCCAUGCCGCGUGUAUGAAGAAGGCCUUCGGGUUGUAAAGUACUUUCAGCGGGGAGGCGUUACCCGCAGAAGAAGCACCGGCUAACUCCGUGCCAGCAGCCGCGGUAAUAC